rnacentral:lncRNA from 1 species
UUAUUAAAAAAAAAAAAAAAAAAAAAAAAAAAAAAAAAAAAAAAGCAAAAACUAAAACUCCCAAACCACCCACAAUCCCCCACUCCUAAUCAACCUCCCCCACUAUCCCCCCACACUACCACAACUACAGACACCACCACUACACUACAUAUGAUAUACACACACACACGGAAACUACAAAACAAAAACACUACUACUACUAUAUAUAGGCACUACUACUAUACACAUGC